CGCAAAUGGACCUCGAACAGUGAGAA
rnacentral:sRNA from 1 species